UACGUAGGGUGCAAGCGUUGUCCGGAAUUAUUGGGCGUAAAGAGCUCGUAGGCGGUUUGUCGCGUCGGCUGUGAAAGCCCCGGAGCUCAACUCCCGGGGUCUGCAGUCGAUACGGGGCAGACCUUGAGUGUUGCAGGGGGAGACUGGAAUUCCUGGUGUAGCGGUGAAAUGCGCAGAUAUCAGGAGGAACACCCAAUGGCGAAGGCAGAUCUCUGGGCCGUAACUGACGCUGAGGAGCGAAAGCAUGGGGAGCGAACAGG
rnacentral:rRNA from 1 species